rnacentral:rRNA from 1 species
GACGAACGCUGGCGGCGUGCUUAACACAUGCAAGUCGAACGGAAAGGCCCUGCUUUUGUGGGGUGCUCGAGUGGCGAACGGUUGCGUAACACUUGAGUAACCUGCCCUUGACUUUGGGAUAACUUCAGGAAACUGGGGCUAAUACCGGAUAGGAGCUCCUGCUGCAUGGUGGGGGUUGGAAAGUUUCGGCGGUUGGGGAUGGACUCGCGGCUUAUCAGCUUGUUGGUGGGGUAGUGGCUUACCAAGGCUUUGACGGGUAGCCGGCCUGAGAGGGUGACCGGCCACAGUGGGACUGAGAUACGGGCCAGACUCCUACGGGAGGCAGCAGUGGGGAAUAUUGCACAAUGGGCGGAAGCCUGAAGCAGCAACGCCGCGUGCGGGAUGACGGCCUUCGGGUUGUAAACCGCUUUCGCCUGUGACGAAGAGGGAGUGACGGUAAUGGGUAAAGAAGCACCGGCUAACUACGUG